UUUUUCUUUUUUCCUUCCUUCACGUGAAAUCUCUUCCCCCCUCUCAACCUUCUUCUUCUUCCUUCUCUUUCUUUUCCCAAUCGCUAGCUUCCCCGACAAGAUCCGACGAACGGUAGCACACCUCCCAACAACACACUCCGACGUACCACGGCGCAGCAAGAAACUUGGCGGGCAGCGGCGUCCUACUCUAUUUCGCGGCAGUUUGAGGUGGGCGCGGCGGUCUGUUGUGUUGGACGACGUCUCGAGGGUUCGGUGGCAACCAACGACCCAUCUUAACUCAGUCUGAGAGACCCCCACACUCUUGUGGCGACUUUACUGCUUUAAGGACAUUUUCGAUGCAUUCUGCUGCUGUAAAAAAUGCUAACAGCUUGUUUUCUUGGUAUUUGGUGAUUACCCAGUUUCAUUUGAGGCUCAAUUCACACUACCCAUACUUUUUCAAGCUAGAUCUAAGCUACCCACACCUAAGCGAAGUCGUUUUGUAGUAAUGGAUUGCAAAACAAAGUCGUUGGACAUUGUUUUGGCACGUUCCUCUGCUUCAAAAUGUGGACAGCAGCAGUUUCGUGGUGUUUGGCACUUACCUACACCCGUUCGAAGCCCGAUUUACGUUACCCACCCUUGCUCGAGUUAGAUAUGAGUUACCCACACCUAUGCAAAGUUGUCUUGUAAUAACGGAUAGCAAAACGCAGUCGUUGGAAGUUGUUUCGACUCGUUCAUCUGUUACAAAACGUGGACAGCAGCAGUUUCAUGGUGUUUGGCGCUUACCCACACCCAUUUGAAGCCCGAUUUACGUUACCCACCCUUGCUCGAGUUAGAUAUGAAUUACCCACACUCAAACAAGUCGUUUUUGUGGUGUCGAGGGAAUGGAAGAAUUAGGAACAUUAGGAGUGGUUUUGCAGGUAUCGAGCUAACUCUUGGAAUGGUGAUGGCGAGGAGGAGACUUGACUAGAGAGACCAUUUAACACUGCGUUGUUAAGUCUCAUUUUGAAUAGGAUAGCUAUCGAGUCUGUUAUAAGGUUAAUAAAUUGGUUUGUUUAAGUUCCUUAUUUAAGGGAUGUUUUAGGAUUGACAGUUCGUUAUUCUUGAGAACAUUAAUUUUGUUUAGCUACUUGAACUGUGGUGAUGUAGUCUAUCGAAGAUAUUUAUCAGUAUACUACAUUUAUUCAAGUUGAACUUGAGUUGGC